rnacentral:rRNA from 1 species
GAUGAACGCUGGCGGCGUGCCUAAUACAUGCAAGUCGAGCGAACAGAUGAGAAGCUUGCUUCUCUGAUGUUAGCGGCGGACGGGUGAGUAACACGUGGGUAACCUACCUAUAAGACUGGGAUAACUCCGGGAAACCGGGGCUAAUACCGGAUAAUAUUUUGAACCGCAUGGUUCAAUAGUGAAAGACGGUUUCGGCUGUCACUUAUAGAUGGACCCGCGCCAUAUUAGCUAGUUGGUAAGGUAACGGCUUACCAAGGCGACGAUACGUAGCCGACCAGAGAGGGAUAGCGGCCACACUGGAACUGAGACACGGUCCAGACUCCUACGGGAGGCAGCAGUAGGGAAUCUUCCGCAAUGGGCGAAAGCCUGACGGAGCAACGCCGCGUGAGUGAUGAAGGUCUUCGGAUCGUAAAACUCUGUUGUUAGGGAAGAACAAAUUUGUUAGUAACUGAACAAGUCUUGACGGUACCUAACCAGAAAGCCACGGCUAACUACGUGCCAGCCGCCGCAGUAA